ensembl:lncRNA
CGAUGCUGCUUGGGGAUUUGGCGCCGGUGUUGGGCUGGUGCCCCAUUCCCACGCAGAACCAGGAGCAGGUCUGAGCCCAGCCUUGUGCAAAUCUGUUGCCUUCUCCAUCGAGGAAGCGGGAAGCCCCGUGAAAACCUCCAAACACAUCAGAAUGACCAUAUUUAUUAGCUGGCUUCCUGUUUUCUUUGCGAUCCUUUCACAAACAGGAGGCAGAAAUAAAAAUAGCAAACAUGUUUUCCCCUAUUCCUCCGUGAACGCUUACUUAAGCUUUUAUUAUAUUUGGCCGUGGGACAUUUGGUAAACUUACUGAUGAUAUCGGAGAAUGAUUUUACAAACAGUAAAAGUUACACUAUUGACACCUCCAAAUUCUGGAGUAUUUACAUUGUGUUAGGUGCACACUCGCUCAGCGAGAUUAACAAACAUUACUAGAAAGGCUAUAGCCAAAUCCACCGUGGUUGUUUAUAAAACCUUUACAACUCAUCAGCUUCCACUAACACACUGGCACUGUUCAAUUACCAUCACUUUUAGAGAGCCUUAGCAAAACACCCAGUGCCCAUGUAAAUAGACAAAUCUGAAAACUAGCUGGUCUGUUGGCUUACAUACUGUAGGUAAUGUUUUCUUUUGCUCAAAUUUGUUCUAGAAACUAAUCACGCUCUGAUAAAGCCAUCUGCAAAUAUGAGAAAGAUUGACAUCCACAUGUCAAAGUUUACACAGCCUGACCAAGUGUACAUAUAGUGCGGGCGCCGCGUGGCCCCGCUGUGCUGAUCUGCCUGGCCUGUACUGGUGCAGGAGCGCAGCACCACCACCACCAGCAUCCAGGAGCUCCAGAGCCAGCAGAAGACCCCGCUGACAGCCCGGUGACCCUGCAUGGCAUGGGAAGGGAUUCCUACUGCUGCACCAGGUGAUGCUGCCCAGAGCAUCCUUCUGUCGCCAGGAUACAGGACUCACAGCCUUCAUACCUCCAUUGCUUUCCUAGUGAAGUGCUUUGAUUUUGGAUCAUCCGACAAGGAAACCCUACCAUUUUCCUCAGCCUGUGGUUUCCUGGAGCGUCAGGUGAGAGCAAAAAGAAAUUGAAAAAAGCUUCAAGGUGAGGACGGGCAAAAUACUGGGUCACAAGAGUUUUUUCUCCCACUGAAGAGUGAUCAGCGCUCAGUGCAAACUGCGGAGUUUUGUUUGGCUCUGGGUCUCCAAACAAGGCUUUUGUUGACUCCUAAACAAGGCCAGUGCCCAAGAUUUGGAGCCGGCUGCGGCGGCUGGCACCCAGGCCCUGAAAUUCCAAACAGAGAAGAAGAAAAUAAAUCACCGAUGUUUUACUUAAUUGCAUCACUAAAGAAAGGAUUUACAUGGAAUUUAAUGAACUUCUCUUAAUCACAUCCAACACCCUUCCUGCACUGGACAUUUGCCUCGUGAGCAAGGCAAGGCUCCAACUUGGAAAGGGAGCGGGAUGUGAUAGAAAUGGGUAAAAGCUGACAGCCUCAGGGCUCCGGUUCAGUCCUCACCCAACUGAGCUCUGCCCUGUGUCUUGGUGCUGGGUCCCCACUGUGCUGUGUCCUCUGUCUUGGUGCUGGGGUGCCACGGGCUCUGUCCUGCUGUUUUGUAUGGCUAGCUGUCCUUCUUGCUCUUGAUGGUGGUCUCUAUCAAAGCCCUGGUGGUUGGGUUGCGCAUCUCCAACAGGUGACUUGCAACUGUCCUCUGCUCACUGCACCGUGCCUCAAUUUCCCCAGCUAUCCCACUAGGAAACAACAGGGCACGUGAUUGAGACUCCCUCCAGCACAUCCAUCUGCCUCCCACACCGGGAGAUGGCUUUGGCCUUUGCUCCAUCUCUGUACCAGCAGCCCAGCUGCUUUCUCAGAUAGAAGUGAAGUCAGAACUCACAGCCCCAUGCUCCUGUCCCCUGCACUGGCGUGGAUCCCACUCCAAAGGGACCGUGCUUGGGCAGAAAAGGUGACUCCAGAGCUGGCAUUGACAAAAUAGAUGAGUACAGACAUAAACCCAGGCUGGAGUUUGACAGAGGCUGCGGUGCAGGUCCAUCCGUGCAAGCAUUAGGUGUUUAAGGAUACUUGUUUGAAAGCACAUCAGCAUCAAUCAUUGUCUGCCGCUACUUGAAAAACAAGGCUGAUAGACUAGCAGCUAGCAAAGCUUUCUGCCUGCCUCCGAAGCAUGCUGCAAUUCAAUUAGUCAUGGUCAGAGGGUGGCAUUAUUAUUCAUACAUUACUGAUUGUUCCCAAAGUAAACAGCGCUAGGAUGGGGUCUGUGAUCCUCUCUGUGCCCUCAGCCAGGACACAAAGGGAAAUGCGAUGCAGACCCCGGGGUGGGACAUUGUUUGCAAACUUCACAGUCAGAUCUCGCCGUUUUUCAUAGCCCUCACUGAUAAGUGUCGGUUUAUGCAUACAAAAAAGCCGAGAUAUUUUACCCCAGUCAAUUCCACGAUCUUUUUUUUUUAGCACUGAUAACUUCUCUUUUUUUUUCAAGCCAUAUGCUAAUUUUAGAUAGGAUGGAUAGCUUAAACUAUGCAAAUACAAACCCUGCCACCGCAGAAUAUAAUAAUGAUCGACAGCUUAGCAAUUAGCAGUAAAUAACCACACCAUGCAACGCAGCAAUAUCAUUUGCAUGCUCGCAAAAUAGUAACCCAGAGCCGUAAUGGACUACAAAGCCAUCUGUUUAUCAGCGUUACAGCAGCAAAAGCCAAAAUACACACAGCACAAAAAGUGACCCGAGUGCUCGGGACCAAUGCCUGCCCUUGGUGGCUCUUGGUGCAGGUGGGUACCACGCUCCAGUGCAGAGAAGGGAUGGAGGGUGAGCGCCCUCCGAGCGAAACCUCAUGGCGAGGAACAGCAGAAAAAAAAAAAAGGGUUACGUCUCAGAUCUGUGUAUGCAGAUUAUAAAAACACACAGAAAAUCAGUGCUCCCCCUGGAUAUAGCUGCCAGCCCCUCCCGCCCCACUGCUUGCCCCGCUGCGUACCUCCCGCACCCGCUCCAGUGUGGGUGCAGCCGUGCCUCCCUCCCGCCGCCAGCUAAUGUAUUUGCACAAAACUUGAAGGAGUGCAAUUGACGUGAGAGCCCUACUGCCUCCAAAGUUAUUACAGUGACUGAUGGACAGGCACGGUGCGAAUCAGCAUAUUUGCUCCAUUUCCUCAGGGAAAUGGACUCGCUACAAUAAAAAUGUGCUCUUUCAUAACUGCUGCCCUGCUCACUUGGCUAAAUUUGAACGCGAGGGCGGAGGAUUGCUCUGGGCAAGGAGGAGGGAGAAGACGAGCUCACUGCUGAGGCAAAUUGAGUUAAGAAGUGGUGGUUGUAGGCAAAUACCUCCGACAGCGGCACUAUUGAUGUGGCUGCAGAAUUUCUGAGAGCCUAUGCACACAGUAAAACCCCACCCCAAUGAGAACCACCACCUGAUACUCUAACCAGAGACCAUUUUUCCUCACUGGUUUUUUUUUUUUGUGUGUGCUUUUUGUUUUUUUUUUUUUUUUCCAUAAAAGGGAGGUCAUCUUUGCCUUCUCAUUGGUAUUCUCCCCCAACCCCAUUCCUCUUCCACAGGACCGGCCCCAACGUAGAGAGGGACAGACAGAAAACAUCGCGAAAUGACAAAUGCCAUGUUUCGUGUCAGUCAUCGGAGGCAUUCUGCAUAGCGUUUCUGUUCUGUCCUGCUGAUGGCUUGAUUUAGUGCUGCAGUCGCUUGUUGGGUUGACAUGACAACUGGGGGACACGUCGUAAAUAUCCCAGGAGCGGAUGGGAGCUUUGUGCCGCAUGUGCUGAACCCGCCGCCCAGGUGGCAGCCCAGCGGGCUUCGCCCUGGUUUGUUUGGAAGAGAAAGAAAGAAGAAAGGAAGGCAACAACAACAAGAAAGUACAUAUGGUUUCUUUUUAAGAAAAAGAAAGAAAGAGAAAGGAAUCUUCAUUUUCUUUUGGUUGACUUGAUAAGUCUUUGUCGGAUCACUCGCGGCCAUUAGGACCCGGUUGGCUGCCAUCCAUCCAUCCAUCCAUCCAUCCAUCCAUCCAUCCAUCCAUCCAUCCAUUCACCAUUGGCUUUCUCAGAGGUUUGGAGGUAUUUAUUACUCACAAGGCUGAGCUGCCAUGGAAGAGAAGCCAAGGUUUUUGCUGAGGAGGAGACCUGACGUGGAGAUAGGCUUUCAAUCUGUCGAGGAGGAGCUGGAAGAGUGUCAGGAGUGGUUUUGAUCUGCCUCUGCCCAAUUGCACAGCAUGUGGACAGCCUGGCAGCACCUGGGCUCACAGGUUGGAAAUGAGCUGGGAACAUUCCUCUUUCUGUGGGAUGCAGCUUCCCAGUGAGAGAAGUCUUGAGCUGUCAUAGCAGCAGGGUUUCAUUUUUUUCCUGCAGCUCUGCUGCUUUUUCAGGAUAGAAAAGAGCAGUUCAUGCUUGGAGAAAUGCCUCCAUCAGUGUUUUCAAAAUGAUAUACUCAGUUUAGCCAUUUAAAGCCAGUUUAGCCACUUAAAGCCCUUUCCGAAUCUAGCUUCCAUUUGGGGUGAUAUUUUCAUCCUGUUAUGUUUUGUUAGAGUUUAUAAAGAAGCGCUCACACACACAUACACACACACACACACACACAAACACACGUUCAGUUUUGUUUCAGAUUGAAAUGAGACAUUACUGAAACAAAGGCAAAGUUUCCUCUCGUCUCCCUCCUUUGUCCACUCGUCAUUGUUUUCUGCUAUUAUAUGCAGUAAGACAAAUGAUGGGGGAAAGCUCCUUCCCACUUUCUCCUUUUCUUUUUUUUCCUUUGUAAUUUUGAAAAAGCCUCCAACUUGAAAGGAAGAUGAGCCAGAGCAGUAAGAGAACAAAACCCAUCAGCAACUCCAUCACUGGGAUUUGAAAAUGUUUAAAUGCACCAGGGUUACAAGAGAACAAUCUCUGUCACUUCCAAAGGUUUCCUUAGCUGGAGGAACUGAGGAAAGGAAGAGAAGCAAAGCAAAAGAAGAAGAAAGGAAAAUAAUGAAAAUGCCCAAAACAAAGCAUCAAAUACAAAAAGAAAAAAAAAAGAAAAAAAAAGAAAAAAAAAAGAAAGAAAAUCUAGCAACCAAAUUUAGAUGUUUGAUACGUGAGCAAAAUUCGUUCAAGAAAGCCUUCUCCCCUGCUUUGCUGGAGCUGGGAUGAUGCCAGGACUCUUUCCCAGUCCACAGGGGCCCCAUGCACACAUCCCCACACAAUCCAGGCUGCUGUUACCAGUAGUCUUUACCUGGCCCAAAGCCUAACAGUUGGGCGACCUUGAUGGAAUCUGAGAGCUGCACAGAUUCACCAGGAGCCAUACAAGGACAUCAUUGUCACCUCUACCUAACAUCCCCCUACACCAAGCCCUGUCCAUCAGCAGAACACCUCAUCCUGCCCCCAUCCAGGGCAGAAAGCAUCACCUCUUUGCAUGAGGGUGAGAAAUCCCAGAGGGGACACCGAAGUCCUUUGGGGCUGCCAUCGCCAUCCCCAUCCCGGCACCCGGCAGCUGAGCGGAUCAACGGUCCUUUAGAGCAAAAAUCAUAAAUCAAACAAUAGCAGUCCUUCCUCGCCUUCCCUGACGCUGGGAGAAAUGUCUUGAUUAGCUUUUGUUUGCUUGUUUGCUUGGGCUUGUUUGUUUGUCAAUGCGUGUUGUGUAUCCGUGGGCGUGCGUUGGCUUUAUUGACCGAACGUGGAGCUGAAGCGUAAGCGGGGUUACGCAGCGGCAGCGUAGGGGAGAGGAGAAGGCUGGAUUGAUGGAGAUGGCAUUUACAUUCCCCACUCAAUCUGCAUCGGGGAGGAGGGUCACUGCGAUAUGAGUUUUGACUGAGAUGUACUUUGUGGAAGCAGAUGACUAGCGGAGGGAAAUCCUUCAGCCGAGCCUCCCAAAUACCUUCAGCCCUACAAAAGCCCCCAGAUGCUUUCCUCUUCCUGGCCAGGACCUCCACACACUGACCAGGGACUGGUGGUGAGGAGGGGUGCUUUGGGUGUGCAUUGCCGUCCCUGCGUCGUUCGGAUGGUUUGGGCAGGGAGGCAGAGAUAAAAGCAGGACAAGUCAGAGCUCCUCCGUACAGAUUUGUCCCGAUUUACACCAGCUGAGCACUCGUUCAACCAACAUGAAAUAACUCCUGUCUACAAAUAUCAGCCGUGGGGAUCGGACCCAGUGCAAACUGGCAACAUCUGCAGCUGCCGCCAGACAGACAGACAGAUAGCCCGACGUGAAUUAUUUAACACAAAGUGCCAUGACCUCUAUUAACAAAGGGAGAUGCUUCCAGACCUGCGGGCAGCACCAUGGGAAGCAGCUGGAUCCAAAUCAAUCUAAUUGAAGACGGGCCUGAAUUUAUUAUACGAGCCCUGUUGAGGACGCUGAGGGGGAAUAGAUGCCAAUGCAGCGUUCUCCUUUUAGCUCAGCUGGAAAGAUCACAGCUGCAAAUUGUGAUUAAGCAAAAAAUCAGGUCUGAGCCUCCCCCGCCCAGGCAGCAGCACACGGAUGCUAGGAGGGGGGGUUUCUUAGCACUGAGCAUUUUCAGAAAAUAAAAUUAUCUUGAAGUUUCCCGAGUUUUUUCUUUCUUUCUUUCUUUCUUUUCCCUUCCCCUUCCUCUAUAAUCAAAAGAAAGAACUGAAAGAAACGUGCACUUCAAGGCUUUAAAUCUGAAACUUCCUAAUCCCCUGAAGUCCACACUAGACUUCUUGCCUCCAUGGAAACCCCAAAGCAUUCAUCCAAGUGAUUGGCCUCCAAUGAAUUUUAGAUAAGACAGAAUGGAACAGAAUUGAUGUGAUUUUAAUGCAGAAGAAAGCGGUGGAAGGGAGGUCCACUUGGUUCAUAUUUGAAUAAAGCAAACAUGACAGACAAAAGGCUGACAGCUGUAAAUGACAUUGUCAGUACAAAAAUUAUCAGCCAGUUUACAAUCUGUUUGCUUAUGUUGAACAAACAGAAUGUGUGUGGCAUCCCUUGGCUUCAUGAAUGGCAGAAAUACUUGCAGGCUCCGGAGAGAGGCAGAUAUCUGUUCCCUCCCAGCCCUCCCACUAGAAGAUAUCCAUUUGACAGCCACACUGAAAAGGAAAAUUCUCUCCUUUUUUCCUCCUCUCUCCCUUCUGCUUUUUCAAUUUCUUUCUUUUUCUUUUUUUUUUAGCCUCCUUCUUUUUCUCUCUUUUUUCCUCUAUUUCUGGCUGCGGUGCUGUUUCAGUGGGAUCAGUGCUGGGGCUGCUGCUGCAGUGCUGCAGGAUGGAUGGAGCCGUUUGCCAUGUCCCACAUUCCUGGCCCCAAACCUGCCAUCACCUAGCCACAGCCCCGACCGAGCACGCUUUGCUUUCCCUGACUUACUU